rnacentral:tRNA from 1 species
AAGGAAUUAAUUCAACAGGUAGAAUGACCAUCUUACACAUGGCUUGUUAAGCGUUCGAGUCGCUUAUUUCUUA